UAAAAAUUAGUUAAUUUAUAACAUUAGUUUGUCAGACUAAAAUAAUUCAAAAAAAUAUUUUUAU
rnacentral:tRNA from 1 species